rnacentral:misc_RNA from 1 species
GAUGAAGAACGUAGCAAAAUGCGAUAAGUAAUGUGAAUUGCAGAAUUCAGUGAAUCAUCGAAUCUUUGAACGCACAUUGCGCCCGCCAGUAUUCUGGCGGGCAUGCCUGUUCGAGCGUCAUUUCAACCCUCAAGCACAGCUUGGUGUUGGGACUCGCGUUAAUUCGCGUUCCUCAAAUUGAUUGGCGGUCACGUCGAGCUUCCAUAGCGUAGUAGUAAAACCCUCGUUACUGGUAAUCGUCGCGGCCACGCCGUUAAACCCCAACUUCUGAAUGUUGACCUCGGAUCAGGUAGGAAUACCCGCUGAACUUAAGCAUAUCAAUAAGCGGGGA